GCUUGCUUCUCUUGAGAGCGGCGGACGGGUGAGUAAUGCCUAGGAAUCUGCCUAGUGGUGGGGGAUAACGUUCGGAAACGGACGCUAAUACCGCAUACGUCCUACGGGAGAAAGCGGGGGAUCUUCGGACCUCGCGCCAUUAGAUGAGCCUAGGUCGGAUUAGCUAGUUGGUGAGGUAAUGGCUCACCAAGGCGACGAUCCGUAACUGGUCUGAGAGGAUGAUCAGUCACACUGGAACUGAGGCACGGUCCAGACUCCUACGGGAGGCAGCAGUGGGGAAUAUUGGACAAUGGGCGAAAGCCUGAUCCAGCCAUGCCGCGUGUGUGAAGAAGGUCUUCGGAUUGUAAAGCACUUUAAGUUGGGAGGAAGGGUAGUAACCUAAUACGUUGCUACUUUGACGUUACCGACAGAAUAAGCACCGGCUAACUUCGUGCCAGCAGCCGCGGUAAUACGAAGGGUGCAAGCGUUAAUCGGAAUUACUGGGCGUAAAGCGCGCGUAGGUGGUUCAGUAAGUUGGAAGUGAAAUCCCCGGGCUCAACCUGGGAACUGCUUUCAAAACUGCUGAGCUAGAGUACGGUAGAGGGUGGUGGAAUUUCCUGUGUAGCGGUGAAAUGCGUAGAUAUAGGAAGGAACACCAGUGGCGAAGGCGACCACCUGGACUGAUACUGACACUGAGGUGCGAAAGCGUGGGGAGCAAACAGGAUUAGAUACCCUGGUAGUCCACGCCGUAAACGAUGUCAACUA
rnacentral:rRNA from 1 species